rnacentral:misc_RNA from 1 species
GAUGAAGAACGUAGCGAAAUGCGAUACUUGGUGUGAAUUGCAGAAUCCCGUGAACCAUCGAGUCUUUGAACGCAAGUUGCGCCCGAAGCCAUUAGGCCGAGGGCACGCCUGCCUGGGCGUCACACGUCGUUGCCCCCCCAUCUACUCCUUCGGGAUUGCGGGGGGCGGAUGAUGGCCUCCCGUGCGCCUCGUCGCGCGGUUGGCAUAAAUACCAAGUCCUCGGCGACGCACGCCACGACAAUCGGUGGUUGCGAAACCUCGGUUGCCCGUCGUGUGCGGUCGUCGCGCAUCGAGGGCUAGAAAAAAUUGCCGGGCUCCGGCUCGGCUUUCAACGCGACCCCAGGUCAGGCGGGGUUACCCGCUGAAUUUAAGCAUAUCAAUAAGCGGAGGA